CCCAGGCUGGUCUCGAACUCCUGACCUCAAGUGAUCCACCCACCUCAGCCUCCCAAAAUACUGGGAUUACAAGUAUGAGCCACUGCGCCCCACCCUCAUUUCUCCCUUUCAUUUGAAAUGAACCAUCUGCCAUUUAGUUGCUAUUGAGUGUCUUCCUAUAUUUUUAUGAUUUCUUAUAUUGAGACUAUUGCUAGUCUCAGUAGCAAGUUAACUAAUAAUUAUAUUUCUAUGAUUUAGAAUAUUCCCAACCCCAGCUAGUUUCAUGUCCUUUGGAAAUUUGGUGAGGUUGUUCUUGAUAUUUUCAACCAAGAAGUAAAUAUUUUGAACAACGUGAUCACUGGGACUGCUCUGGGUAGGGGAUAAAAUGGACAGGUUUCGAAUAUUAGAAGUUUUUACUGAGAACUCUGAUGUAGUAGCUACACUUUAGUGCAGAGUGAUACAAAAUCCAAGAGUCAAUGUUCCCCCCGCAAAGUGUAUUCUCAAACUAUAAAAAUAUCAUUCAACAACAAAAAAGAGAAUUCCAAGUGAUAAAGAAUGCUUAGAAGAAAAUCUGUGACAUUUUUUGAGAAUUGGCUCUUUUGCUAUCACCAGGCUCAGCUGUUUAACUGCAAGGCAGGUGUUGUGGUGCAGUGAUGUCAAAGAAAACAUUGGCUAUGUCACCAGCAUUUACUAUUUGCUUGGCAGAAGAUAUUAAUGGUAGGGUUUAUAUGUGUGUCUUGAGCAUAUAUGUGUACCGUUUGGGGUUGGGGGAACAUGAGGAUAGAAGGAUGUGAGCCCAUUGAGUUUGUACUGUGAUACAUACCUUCUCCAGAUUGGAUCUUAUAACAAUCAUUGUAUAGAUGACCACUUGAUUUGGUGGGUAGCUAAUAUGGUAUAUUUAUUUCACAGUUUCACAUCUUUAUCAUUGUUUUUAUAUAAAAACAA
rnacentral:lncRNA from 10 species